rnacentral:rRNA from 1 species
AGUGAACGCUGGCGGUAGGCCUAACACAUGCAAGUCGAACGGCAGCACAGUAAGAGCUUGCUCUUACGGGUGGCGAGUGGCGGACGGGUGAGGAAUACAUCGGAAUCUACUUUUUCGUGGGGGAUAACGUAGGGAAACUUACGCUAAUACCGCAUACGACCUACGGGUGAAAGCAGGGGAUCUUCGGACCUUGCGCGAUUGAAUGAGCCGAUGUCGGAUUAGCUAGUUGGCGGGGUAAAGGCCCACCAAGGCGACGAUCCGUAGCUGGUCUGAGAGGAUGAUCACCCACACUGGAACGGAGACACGGUCCAGACUCCUACGGGAGGCAGCAGUGGGGAAUAUUGGACAAAGGGCGCAAGCCUGAUCCAGCCAUACCGCGUGGGUGAAGAAGGCCUUCGGGUUGUAAAGCCCUUUUGUUGGGAAAGAAAAGCAGCAGGUUAAUACCCCGCUGUUCUGACGGUACCCAAAGAAUAAGCACCGGCUAACUUCGUG